UUAUUCUAGAUUAGAAUGGGCACUGUUGAUUGGUGUUCAAAAUUGGUCAAUGUACACAGAUCAUACUUCGUAUUUCUGACACAGUAAAUGUUUACCGCAGUGACAAAGAAGCCUGUAACAUUU
rnacentral:snoRNA from 1 species